AUGGCGUUCCGACGCCCUCUCGCUCUCCACCCGCUCGUGAUCGCCUUCGUGCUGGUCUCCUGUCUCGCGGGCGCCGCCACGGCGAAGCAGACGGGCCAGCUGACCGUGUUCUGGGGCCGGAACGCCGGCGAGGGCACGCUGCGCGAGGCCUGCGACACGGGGCUCUACUCCACCGUCGUCAUCUCCUUCUACAGCGUCUUCGGGCACGGCCGCUACUGGGGCGACCUCUCCGGCCACCCUCUCGCCGGCGUCGGUGCCGACAUCAAGCACUGCCAGUCCAGGAACAUCCUCGUUCUCCUCUCCAUCGGCGGGCCCAGGAACGGCUACUCCCUCCCGUCCUCGGCCUCCGCCACCGCCGUCGCCGACAACCUCUGGAACGCGCACCUCGGCGGGCGCCGGAACGGCGUGUACCGCCCGUUCGGCGACGCCGCUGUCGACGGCAUCGACUUCUACAUCGACCAGGGCGCCCCCGACCACUACGACGAGCUGGCCAGCCGCCUUGACGGGCACAACCGCCGGAAGGGUGUGCGCCUGACGGCGACGCCGCGGUGCGGGUUGCCCGACCCCCGCCUGGGGGCGGCGCUCCGGACGGGGCUGUUCGAGCGCAUCCACGUCAGGUUCUACGGCAACGACUCAUGCUCGCUGGGGAAGGGCGGGACGUACGGCGUGGUAGAGCAGUGGGAGAAGUGGACGGCGGCGUUCCCGAGGACGCUGGUGUACCUGGGCCUCGCGCCGGCGGAGAGCGGCGUGCCGGAGGGGGCGCAGGGCACCGUCGCCGUUUACCUCAAGUACCUCUACUACGACCUGCUGCCCAAGAAGGCGAACAACUAUGGCGGGGUCAUGGUCUGGGACAGGUUCACCGACAAGAAGACACGCUGGAGCAGCGUCGUCAGUGGAUGGGCCUGA
rnacentral:rRNA from 1 species